UUUCGGAUGGAAGAGGAUUUGACUUAGCGGCGGACGGGUGAGUAACGCGUGGGUAACCUGCCUUACACUGGGGGAUAACAGUUAGAAAUGACUGCUAAUACCGCAUAAGCGCACAGGGCCGCAUGGUCUGGUGUGAAAAACUCCGGUGGUGUAAGAUGGACCCGCGUCUGAUUAGGUAGUUGGUGGGGUAACGGCCCACCAAGCCGACGAUCAGUAGCCGACCUGAGAGGGUGACCGGCCACAUUGGGACUGAGACACGGCCCAAACUCCUACGGGAGGCAGCAGUGGGGAAUAUUGGACAAUGGGCGAAAGCCUGAUCCAGCGACGCCGCGUGAGUGAAGAAGUAUUUCGGUAUGUAAAGCUCUAUCAGCAGGGAAGAAAAUGACGGUACCUGACUAAGAAGCCCCGGCUAACUACGUGCCAGCAGCCGCGGUAAUACGUAGGGGGCAAGCGUUAUCCGGAUUUACUGGGUGUAAAGGGAGCGUAGACGGUUUAGCAAGUCUGAAGUGAAAGCCCGGGGCUCAACCCCGGUACUGCUUUGGAAACUGUUAGACUUGAGUGCAGGAGAGGUAAGUGGAAUUCCUAGUGUAGCGGUGAAAUGCGUAGAUAUUAGGAGGAACACCAGUGGCGAAGGCGGCUUACUGGACUGUAACUGACGUUGAG
rnacentral:rRNA from 1 species